CAGAUUUUUUGCACUGGGAAAAAGGACUGGAGUAGAGUCCCACCAGGGGCUGGCUAACUUUUUACUUUGCCAAGAAGCUCACUGACACAUAUUUUCCUUGGAGCAAUAGAAGCCUUUGCAAUAUGGAAAAAGUGACAUGUGAUCCGAAGGCGUCUGGAGGGGAGCUCUAACUGACCUUUGCAACCACCUACCCAGAGCCGAGACUGGCGAAGGGCGAGCGGAGCCUCCAGGAAUGAUGUCUGGUGCCCUCCACAGCUGCCUUACCAAGUCCUGCGUGCUGGCACCACCACCUUGGAGGAGGAAAGCCCUCCCCCAUUUCCUGCCCUGCUCCCACUCUUCCUCAGAACCUCAGAGGAAGGCCUAUGGAAGAAAGCUUACUAUUUGGGGGUUGCCCUGCUUGUCAUUAGGGACUUGAAACCUAUCACCCAGGAAGAAGCUCCAUGGAGCCACAGCCACAGAAUCCUGGCCACAGAAUCCCACCCUCAGAGCACCAAGGUCUGCCUUGUCGGAGGAUGCAUGUUAAAAAUAGAAGAAUGGCAAAGCAGCCCAAAGUCUUAAGCCAAGAGGUCAAGCCAUCACCAGCAGGUUUCAGAUGACUAAAAUGGCAGAAUCGUGUGAUAGGAGGAUUUCUCAAAGGCAUUGCCAUGAGGAGAGUCACCUACCUGUGGCCUUCACAUAUGUGAAGAAUCACAAGGUUCCACUAUAAGAUGGCCUCUGUUUAAAAAAGAAACUUUGAAAUCUGCAAAUAAAUGCCUAUCUACUGUUUCUGAUGCGCUUGUUCUAACACUCAUAGAAAGAAGUGUUCCCACAGACAACGGCUCAGGGGAAAGGGUGCCCACAGCUCAGGGGCCCAGGGCACUCCAGGAGCAUUUCAUCUUCCUCUCCCAUGCUUUUCACAGAAUUGUUUCAGUUGCUUCUACAGAAAAGGGAACAUCUUCGCAUCAUUGUAAGGUAUUGACAGACACACAGAAACAUUAACUCGAGCCUUGGUGCUGACCUGCUUUCAAAAGAAUUCCUACUUGAGAAUUGUGCAGGAGCAAAUUUUGUCUUUUCUCAGAACUGGAAAGGAGGCAAACAUUCAAGGAGAGAGAGAAGAGAAUACCAAAUGAUCGAUGGGUUGGGAAUGUGUGCAUCUUCAAGUCUCUUGUGUUGGUGGAGUUUAAGGCUCAACUGGGUUGAGUCUUCAGAGACAGAAAAGAGCAAAAUGUGUAUGAUUUUCUGAGCCCUCAGAAGGUAGGUAGUUGGGCUGACCUUAGAUGCCACAUUAAUUUCUGAAGAAUCUGGGGGCACAAUGAUGCAGUAUUUAAGACAAUGUAAGUGAAAAUGCUCUGUAUGUUGAAAAGUAAGAUGUAACUAUCAAGUUUUAUUCACCUACAGUCCCCCACUUCAGCAGCUGUUUUAUCUGACAUCAUGGGACUUAAUGUUAAGUCAAUGUUAACGAUGUGUUGCAAACUUAGGUGAUGUUUCCCUAAGACCUUUUGUUAACAUUCAGGCUUUUACUUCCCUCACCAAUUUUUUAUUCUGAAUAAUUUCUUACUGAACUUUAAAAGUCCAGUAGGACUAACACUCAUGGCUAACAUUUACAUUGU